CGUAGGGUGCGAGCGUUAAUCGGAAUUACUGGGCGUAAAGCGUGCGCAGGCGGUUUAGUAAGACAGGCGUGAAAUCCCCGGGCUCAACCUGGGAACUGCGCUUGUGACUGCUAAGCUAGAGUACGGCAGAGGGGGUGGAAUUCCACGUGUAGCAGUGAAAUGCGUAGAGAUGCGGAGGAACACCAAUGGCGAAGGCAGCCCCCUGGGUCGAUACUGACGCUCAUGCACGAAAGCGUGGGUAGCAAACAGGAUUAGAUACCCUGGUAGUCCACGCCCUAAACGAUGUCAACUAGGUGUUGGGAGGGUAAAACCUUUUAGUACCGGAGCUAACGCGUGAAGUUGACCGCCUGGGGAGUACGGCCGCAAGGUUA
rnacentral:rRNA from 1 species